UACGGAGGGUGCAAGCGUUAUCCGGAUUCACUGGGUUUAAAGGGUGCGUAGGCGGGUAUAUAAGUCAGUGGUGAAAGCUCCGAGCUUAACUUGGAACUGCCAUUGAUACUGUAUAUCUUGAAUGUCGUUGAGGUUAGCGGAAUGUUGCAUGUAGCGGUGAAAUGCUUAGAUAUGUUACAGAACACCAAUUGUGAAGACAGCUAACUAAGCGAUGAUUGACGCUGAGGCACGAAAGCGUGGGGAGCAAACAGG
rnacentral:rRNA from 1 species